rnacentral:rRNA from 1 species
UACGAAGGGGGCUAGCGUUGCUCGGAAUUACUGGGCGUAAAGGGCGCGUAGGCGGACAUUUAAGUUAGAGGUGAAAGCCCAGGGCUCAACCCUGGAAUAGCCUUUAAUACUGGAUGUCUUGAGUUCGGGAGAGGUGAGUGGAAUUCCUAGUGUAGAGGUGAAAUUCGUAGAUAUUAGGAAGAACACCAGUGGCGAAGGCGGCUCACUGGUCCGGUACUGACGCUGAGGUGCGAAAGCGUGGGGAGCAAACAGG